rnacentral:rRNA from 1 species
AGCUAAUAGAUACCCAGGUAGUCCACGCCCUAAACGAUGCACACUAGACUGGAGCAGCUCUGACGUUGUUCUGGUCGUAGAGAAAUUGCUAAGUGUGCCGCCUGGGGAGUACGGUCGCAAGGCUAAAACUCAAAGGAAUUGACGGGGGCUCACACAAGCGGUGGAGCAUGUUGCUUAAUUCGAAGCAACGCGAAGAACCUUACCUGGGUUUGACAUGCACGGAUUAAUUGGUGGAAACAUCAGUGACACCCGCAAGGGUGGAACGUGCACAGGUGCUGCAUGGCUGUCGUCAGCUCGUGCUGUGAAGUGUCGGGUUAAGUCCCUUAACGAGCGCAACCCCUGUCGCUAGUUGCCAGCGAGUAAUGUCGGGUACUCUAGCGAGACUGCCGGUGUCAAACCGGAGGAAGGUGGGGAUGACGUCAAGUCCUCAUGGCCCUUACAUCCAGGGUUGCAAACGUGCUACAAUGGUGCGUACAGAGCGACGCGAGGCCGCAAGGCGGAGCAAAUCGCAAAAAACGC